rnacentral:rRNA from 1 species
UACGGGAGGCAGCAGUAAGGAAUAUUGGUCAAUGGAGGCAACUCUGAACCAGCCAUGCCGCGUGCAGGAUGACUGCCCUAUGGGUUGUAAACUGCUUUUGUCAGGGAAUAAACCUUUCUACGUGUAGAAAGCUGAAUGUACCUGAAGAAUAAGGAUCGGCUAACUCCGUGCCAGCAGCCGCGGUAAUACGGAGGAUCCAAGCGUUAUCCGGAUUUAUUGGGUUUAAAGGGUGCGUAGGCGGUCCUAUAAGUCAGUGGUGAAAGACGGCAGCUUAACUGUCGCAGUGCCUUUGAUACUGUAGGACUUGAAUCUAUUUGAAGUGGGCGGAAUAAGACAAGUAGCGGUGAAAUGCAUAGAUAUGU